CCCUGCAGGGAGACUGAUGCUGGACUGGAUCCCAGGAUCACAACCUGAGCCAAAGGCAGAUGCUCAACCACUGAGCCACCCAGGUGCCCCAUGUUAAUGUGUUUUGAAGACCAUUCUCCUAGCUUUUCUCCCAACCGGGUUGCCUCACCGGGUCUCUCGUAGAUGGGAACUCUGGCUGCACUGUGGGGAAAGCAUGUGCAGUGAAACCAAAGAGCAGGACAAGUAAGGAGAGAAGCAUACACAAACUGGAAGAGGGUACCACUCCUCUCAUCAGGAGGGGAUUGUGGGGCUGUGUUGGGAUUUCUUAACUAUAGCAUAAAUUACAUACUUGGCCAUCGUCCCUUUCCUUUGGGCUGUAGAAUGGCCAUAAGUUGUCAUUGUCCUCUGGAAUGUUAUUUGGUUCACUAACAUCCAAGUCAUUUGUCUGUUUGUUUGUCUUUAGGAAUCCGCUUUUCUGCUAAAGAAGGCGCUUGUUCUUUAAAGUUAAGCUUCUGGUGGAAUUGCAAAGGUUCUGCAAGUGGUAUGAAAGUUCAGGCAGUAGGGAGUGAGUUGACUAGAGAGAGCUGUAAGUGAUCUGGGGGGUGAGCACCACUCAAGAUGUGACAUGAGUGAUAUGUUGUGGGAACACAUUUGGGAGAUUUCACGGAUUAGAAACAGUGAGGUAAUGGGUAUGAGACUCUUGCACUCUUGCAGGCCUGGAAAAAAGGAUUGACCUAUCAGGAUGUUUAAUAUUUGUUGACCGAAUCAUCGGAAUUUUAAAAACUAAACUACUACCAAUGGGCACCAGACAUGGUUUUGUCAGCAGUAGGCUAUCCCUGUGACUCAGUGAUUUCUCAUAAAGAGGGUUUCCUGGUUAGUCAUUCUCUGCCUUUGGUGGCCUGGCUUGGCUGACAGGAUCAGUGAUUUCCUCUUAGACUUGUUCAAAUUUCCCAGAAUUCUUUUACUAAUUACAUGUUCAAUGUACUGUGGAUUAUGAUACUACUAAGUAAAUGUUUCUUUCAGCAAAACCCAUAAAAUCACAUUGGGAGCUGUGCUUUCUAGACCAGAAUGUUUUGAAUAAAUACAUCAAUUUACAUACUCUCUUGGAAUUCAUUAGAUGCUGUGCUGGAGGACAGGAUGUUUUGGCAUCCCUGACCUCUGUAUUCUUAGGUUCGCCCUCACGCAUGGUGGAUGUUCAUGGACUUUGUGCCCAGCAUAAGUUACGCUUCCUGAUAGCGCCCAGUUUCCUUUUAGGGAGUUUCCCUUUCCUGCUGUGUAUGAUUUUGGUGGAAGGGUAAUUGAAAAUGUCUGACUCAUGUUCUGGAACCUCAGCCCUAGAAUCUCCUUCCCCUGGCUCUGCUGCAGGUAGAAGAGCUUCCCUGGGACUUUGGGACUAGAGCGCUCACUACAAGGCCCUCAGAACAGCUGGAGGCCCUCGCAGAGAUGACUGCUGCCAAGCCCUUGCCGUGAGGGACCAUGGCCUGCUUCUGCUGCCUGACCUUCCCUGUCUCCCUUUUUUUUCUAUGUCUCUAGUUGCUGCCCCAGUGUCUACUUCCUGUUGAGUCUGAGAGUUUAGAUCAGCUGGUGUUGGUUUUCUCGCUUUCAAAUCAGGAACCCUAACUAAUAACACCACUGACUUAUGAGUCAAGUUCAUAUAUGGUAUCUGUAGGCUCAAUAUCACUAAAUAGAAGUCAAAUAUUUUAGAGUCUCUCACAGAAUCAUUGAAUAUCAAAGGUGGAAUGGACCUUAAAGCUCAUCUGGCCCAAUCCCCUUCAUUUUACAAUGAGGAAAUAAGUACACAUAGCAAGAGAGAGACUUUGGAGGUGUCAUAAACAGAACAUUGACAUCCUGCACAGAGACCUCCUGUCUUAUCCACCCUGGGCAUCUUGUCCACACACCCUCAUUCUACUCCCCUGCCCCAUGACUCAUGGUACCCAUUUAUGGGAUGACUGGGCAGAUCCAAGGGUGAUAUCAGUAGCCUUGGAAAGGAUCAAAGUUAACUCAUAUAGGGUUCAACCUAUGGCUGGUGAUGCUAAUACCAAGAUUCAAGCACUGGGCUGAAACGUCAGCAGGCAUUACCUCAGUUCCCUCUGAUGCCAGUCCAAACGUGUUCUUGUGAUGCAGCCGAGACUUUGUAUAAGGAAGUAGUUAUCAGCAGGCUCUGGAAUCAGACAGACCUGGCCCAGAAUAGUAGUCGUAGCCUCCUAAUGAUUAUUAGGAUACAAACAACUGGUAUCUUGGUAUAAAAUCUCCUAUAAAUGUUUAAUGUGAAUUAGAGAAUAUCUUCUAACCAUUCUUUAUUUUGUAGAAACUAUGCUCCUGUUUGAUCUAAGUGUAGCCAGUCUCUGAGUUUUAAAAAAACUUUUUGAGUUCGUUUUGGAAUAAGAGCUAGAUUUUAUUUUUUAAAUUUUUUUAAAGAUUUAUUUAUUUAUUCAUGAGAAACACAGAGAGAGAGAGAGAGAGAAAGAGAGAGGGGCAGAGACACCAGCAGAGAGAGAAGCAGGCUCCUCGCAGGGAGCCCAAUGUGGGACUCCAUCCUGGAUCCUGGGAUCACACCCUGGGCCUAAGGCAGAGGCUCAAUUGCUGAGCCACCCAGGCGCCCCAAGAGCUAGAUUUUAAAACUGCUUAUGUGAAGCUUUUCAGCAAAACAUAGUCCACAAAAUGAUGUCUGCCAAGUCCUUCCUAAUAUAUGCCAUUAUUUUUUUCUUCGUGGCCUAUUCAGUCAGUAAAGACAUAUUGAACGCCUACUAUGUGUUAGGUAUGGAGGAGGAGGAUGAGCAGAUGCUCACUUGGAGCUGUCAUGUCAUGAGGCUUCUUGCCCUCAUGGAGCUUGUAGCCAAGUGGGGGAGGCUGACCUAAAUCCGGUAAGCACACAAAUAUGACAGAUAUUGCUGGAGAGGGUGAUGAUGCUCUGAGAAGUAGAGAUAAACAUGUCAAACCUGUUUUAAUGAUAAUAACAAUAGCUAUUACUUACUGAGUGCCAACUAUGGGCAGGUACUGAGUUGACUGCUUUUUAUUUAUUGUGCCUAAUGCUCACAGUGAGGUGAGGUGGAUGCUGUUACUUCUAUUUUAUAGAUGACGGAGCUGAAGCUUAUAUAAAGCAGGAUCACAGAGCUAGCGUGGGUCUCGCUGGCUCCAAGGGCCAUGUGCUUUCCACUUUCAACUAGUAAAACUGCUACACCAGAUACUUGGAAUUUAGGCUCUCUGACAUUCAUUACAUGAUAACUGCUUGUCUUUGCUAAUGACUGUGGCCACAUCUGGACAUCUGUAAUCUCUGGAUAUACAAUAUCUGCUUAUACUCACAAGGUGCUAUCUGAGACUUCUUCAUAAAUGAAAACUUUUAUUUAAUUAAUUAAAAAUUCAUUCAAGGGGUGCCUGGGUGUCUCAGUUGGUUAAACAUCCAACUCUUGAUUUCAGCUCAGGUCAUGAUCUCGGGGUCAUGGGAUCAAGCCCUGUGUUGGGCUCUGUGCUCAGAGUAGAGUCUGCUUGUGCCUCUCCCUCCACUCCUCUGCCCACUUGCACGAACUCUCUCUCGCAAAUGAAUAAAUAGGAUCUUUAAAAAAAUUAAAAGUAACCCUAUGACCCAGCAAUUGCACUACUAGGUAUUUACCCCCAAAGAUACAAAUGUAAUCAUCCAAAGGGGCCCCUGCACCACAAUGUUUAUAGCAGCAGUGUCCACAAUAGCCAAACUAUGGAGAAAGCCCAGAUGCCUGUCGACAGAUGAAUGGAUAAAGAAGAAAUGGCAUAUAUAUACCAUGGAAUCUUAUUCAGGCAUCAAAAAAAUGAAAUCUUGCCAUUUGUCACAAUGUGGAUGGAAUUAGAGGAUAUUAUGCUGAGUGAAAUAAGUCAAUCAGAGAAAGACAUUUAUCAUAUGAUCUCACUCAUACAUGGAAUUUAAGAAACAAAA
rnacentral:lncRNA from 1 species